AACGAACGCUGGCGGCAGGCUUAACACAUGCAAGUCGAACGCAUCGCAAGAUGAGUGGCAGACGGGUGAGUAACGCGUGGGAACAUACCCUUUUCUACGGAAUAGCUCUGGGAAACUGGAAUUAAUACCGUAUACGCCCUACGGGGGAAGGAUUUAUCGGGGAAGGAUAGGCCCGCGUUGGAUUAGCUAGUUGGUGGGGUAAAGGCCUACCAAGGCGACGAUCCAUAGCUGGUCUGAGAGGAUGAUCAGCCACAUUGGGACUGAGACACGGCCCAAACUCCUACGGGAGGCAGCAGUGGGGAAUAUUGGACAAUGGGCGCAAGCCUGAUCCAGCCAUGCCGCGUGAGUGAUGAAGGCCUUAGGGUUGUAAAGCUCUUUCACCGAUGAAGAUAAUGACGGUAGUCGGAGAAGAAGCCCCGGCUAACUUCGUGCCAGCAGCCGCGGUAA
rnacentral:rRNA from 1 species